rnacentral:lncRNA from 1 species
AUUUAUAUAAGAGCAAUGAGCCUGAGCCAAGUUGAGACUUUGAUGCUCAGCACUGGGUUACAAAUGGAAUUAAAUUGUAUUUAGUUAUAGUGCAGUUUUUAUUUUAUUUUAAUGAGCAUUAUUAAGUAACAUUAUAACUGUUUGCCAUAGUGUUUCUGAUCUGAGACCAUAUGAGCUUCAAAAGUUAUAACGACCCUCUGCAAAAGUUUAUUUCAAUUAAUUCUCUAUUUAGUUUUACUCCAACACUACAAGCUCUU